GUUUAUUUUUUGAUUGGCAGGCUCUUGUUGAUGCUCCUGACAUGGUGAGAGGUCAAAUGAACUUUAAGAGGCUCACUCUCACAGACAUCAAAAUCGACAUCAAAAGAGUUCCAAACAAGAAAACUCUUAUUGCUGCUAUGGAGGUUGCUGAUGUCAAGAGCAAGUGGGAAAACAGCUCAUGGGGAAGAAAACUCAUUGUUCAAAAGAAGAGAGCCUCACUUAAUGAUUUUGACUGGUUC